rnacentral:rRNA from 1 species
UACGAAGGGGGCUAGCGUUGCUCGGAAUCACUGGGCGUAAAGGGUGCGUAGGCGGCCCUGUAAGUCAGUGCUGAAAUAUCCCGGCUUAACCGGGAGGGUGGCAUUGAUACUGCAGGGCUUGAGUACAGAUGAAGUAGGCGGAAUUGACGGUGUAGCGGUGAAAUGCAUAGAUAUCGUCAAGAACACCGAUAGCGAAGGCAGCUUACUAAGCUGUAACUGACGCUGAGGCACGAAAGUGUGGGGAUCAAACAGG